UUGGGUGUCUAUAUUGAACGUCCCUGAUAGCAGACUACUCCGAUCCGGAUCCGUUUUACCUCCGGCAGAUCCGCGCUACAGUCAGGUCUGUUUAGUGGAUCUGGUCCGGCUUCACUCCGGGUUCGGGUUAUGAUUGUGACUCACGUUCAGAUCCGUUUUACUGACGGUAAAUCCGCAUAACAGUCCGUCUCAUUUCACGCCUUCCAUAUGACUUCGGCACGGAGUCAGAUACCAGAUGUGAGUUCAGUGUCAGCUCAGUGUCGUUUUGCGGAUCCGGGCCGCAUCGGCGGAGCGGCACAGGAGCGGGAGAAAUUCAAACUCAGCGCGAGGACCAACUGACAUCUGCUGAAUCUGCGCUUCAGGGCUGCUUAGGGCUGGGGACCUGAGAUAAGGUGUAAUCAUUUACCCAUCAAAUCACCUAACAAGGAUCAGCCUGGAUCCUAACAGUACUUGAUGCACUGAGCAGUGACAUUAUACAUAGAGUAGUUAAGCAGGAUUUGGUAUCCGCAAAAUGGUUCGAGGUCCUCAGCCCUCGCCUCCCCCAGCACAGAGGAAAACUACCAAGGGCGGUACUCUCAUUAUAGGAGAUUCAAUUGUUAGACAUUUAAAAGUAUCUAAGAGUAAUGGCACAAUUUCAUGUCUUCCAGAUGCUUGCAUGCUGGUAGUCGGCAAGCGGCUCCCUGGGGCGCAUUGCCAAAGCAGGAACCCCGGCACCAUCGCCCUCCACGUGGGGAUGAGCUUUCGGGAGCGACCGGCCCCGUUCCACAGAGACAGGCUUCUCUCUGUGAACAUCGAGGUGGUGCUACGCUGAGACUGACUGUCUCUACCCAGUCACACCAGCCAAGCUGCACUGUAGUGGUGUUAAGUGUCCAAGAAUGCUCUCAUCAGUGGAGGCACAGCUGGCUGCAAAAAACGUCUGUGUCUGCAUGUUUAUAUUAUGUGAAUUAAAAAUGGUUUUAUUAUUAAAAUAAUUGUAUUAAUGCCUGUUGAUUUAUAAAUUGUUUAAUUGAAAUCAAAAUUUAUUUAAGUAGCUUAAUUAAGUAUUGCAUUUAUAAGUGAUGGUAUUUUAUUUUAAUUAGCUUAAGUAUUGCAUUUAUAAGUGAUGGUAUUUUAUUGAAUUAGCUUAAUUAAUAUUGCAUUUAUAAGUGAUGAUAUUUUAUAUAAUUAGCUUAAUUAAGUAUUGCAUUUAUAAGUGAUGGUAUUUUAUUUUAAUUAGCUUAAGUAUUGCAUUUAUAAGUGAUGGUAUUUUAUUGAAUUAGCUUAAUUAAUAUUGCAUUUAUAAGUGAUAUUUUAUAUAAUUAGCUUAAUUAAUAUUGCAUUUAUAAGUGAUGAUAUUUUAUAUAAUUAGCUUAAUUAAGUAUUGCAUUUAUAAGUGAUGGUAUUUUAUUUAAUUAGCUUAAUUAAGUAUUGCAUUUAUAACUGAUGGUACUUUCAUUAAUUAGCUUAAUUAAGUAUUGCAUAUAUAAGUUAUGGUAUUUUAUUUAAUUAGCUUAAUUAAGUAUUGCUUUUAUAAUUAUUGUAUUUCAUUUAGCUAACCUAAUUAAGGAUUGCAUUUACAACUAAUGUUUUUUUAUUAUAUUAUUUAAAUAUUGCAUUUGUAAUUUAAUGUACUGUAUUAAACUCUUUUAAUUUAUCAAUGUAAAAAGAAGUCAAAUAGCUUAGUGCUCUUUCUUUACUACUUUUAUUUAGAAAUAUGUCAUUAUAAUCAGUAAUAAGUAGGCUGGGGAACGUGAAAAGGCCGUGGCUUGGCCGUAGCUAAUACGGAACUAAUCCGGGGCUGAUCCAGAUCUGGUCCAGAUCUGUAACGGACCUGUUCCAGCGAGUGUAACGGUAAGCGGAUCCGGCCCAUAUUCGGUCUAAAGGAACACCUGAAACGCUUGGUCUGGACUGGUGCUGGCCCAGUAUCUUUUUGACUCCG